AAGAAAGAAUUGACAGAAGAAGAGGUAAUUACAAACAACAGAAACAACAACAAGGCAGUUCUUGAAGUCCUUUCAUUUCAUCGUGCAUGCCAUGGCUACGCUGUACUUACCAACUACCGUUUACCUUUUACCUUUUUUUCUUCUCAUCUUCUUUUCUUCCUUUCGUUUUUUUCAGAUAAUGAAGAAGGCUGAGCUGAAUGAGGAGAGAA
rnacentral:ribozyme from 1 species